CCUCUGCCUCUAGCUGGAGGUGCUGGCGCAUGCCUAACUGCCUGUGGAGCGGGUAAGGCUAACCUGCGAUGGGGACACUCGCGGGCCCAAUGAUCUAAAUCCCCACACUCAUAACACCCCUGGGACUGUCGACUGAGAGCUGAAGGUCGGCUACCCCGGCCAGAAGAACCCAUCUGUGAACUAUCUCGGCCUCGACUAGGACCGGCACUACAACCAAUAUGGCGGUGCUGAUCACCCUCUGAUGCCUGGAGAGCAGCC
rnacentral:lncRNA from 1 species